rnacentral:rRNA from 1 species
UUGGGAAUCUUGGACAAUGGGGGAAACCCUGAUCCAGCCAUGCCGCGUGAGUGAUGAAGGCCUUCGGGUUGUAAAACUCUUUCGACGGGGACGAUAAUGACGGUACCCGUAGAAGAAGCUCCGGCUAACUUCGUGCCAGCAGCCGCGGUAAUACGAAGGGGGCUAGCGUUGUUCGGAAUUACUGGGCGUAAAGCGCGCGCAGGCGGCUAUCCAAGUCAGUGGUGAAAGCCCGGAGCUCAACUCCGGAACUGCCAUUGAAACUGUUUAGCUUGAGGACGAGAGAGGUGAGUGGAAUUCCCAGUGUAGAGGUGAAAUUCGUAGAUAUUGGGAAGAACACCGGUGGCGAAGGCGGCUCACUGGCUCGUAUCUGACGCUCAGGCGCGACAGCGUGGGGAUCAAACAGG